CGGCUGGGGCUUCAUCUCGGACGUGGACAUCGACAGCGAGAAGUACCGCUGGCUGGGCAGCGCCCGCUUCACCCUGGGCACCCUGCAGUGCCUGGCCAAGCUCAGGGUGUACCAGGGCCGCCUGUCCUACCUGCCCAUGGCCGCGGAGCAGGGCAGCUCCCCGUGCCCCCGGGACGCCCCCGCGCCCGUCACCAACGGCCACAUCCCGCAGCCGGCGGGGACCGAGGCGCCCGGCUCCCCGCCCCCCGACCCGCUGCUGGUGCCGCUGGGCCAGCCCGUGCCGCCGCACUGGACCGUGGUGCCCGAGGAGGAGUUUGUCCUGGUCUACGCCAUCUACCAGUCCCACCUGGGCACCAACCUGCUGAUGGCACCGGCAGCCCGGCUGCACGACGGCUGCAUCCACCUCUUCUACAUGAAGGCCGGCAUCAGCCGCGUGACGCUGCUGAAGCUCUUCCUGGCCAUGUCCAGGGGGACCCACCUGGACUUGAACUGUCCCCACCUGUCCUACGUCCCGGUGCGGGCGUUCCGCCUGGAGCCGCGCGUGGCCGCGGGCAUCAUGACGGUGGACGGGGAGGCGCUGGCCUGCGAGCCCGUGCAGGGCCAGGUCCAUGCCCGCCUCUGCCGCGUCCUCAGCGGCUCCUGAGCUCCCCGUUCGCCCUCCCUGCGGCGCUGAGCUGCCGGCACGGCCCGGCGCGAGGGUGGCAGAGCCUUCCUCCCACUCAGGAACCCCCUCCUUCCACAGCAAUAGGUCUUGGGGGGGCGUGGGGCUCAUCCCCUCGCUUGCCCCCACGCUUAGCUUUACCGCCUUGGGACAGCUACCAGUGCUGUUCCAAAAAUGAGCCACAAGCCCCAUCAGGUACUCGGUGCCGGCGAGAUGCCAGCGUGUUUUAUCCUGGUACGAGGUCCCGGCCCCCAGGCGGCUGCGCCGGCACAGCCCCGUCCCCUCCCCGGCUCGGACGCACACGCGGUGGCAUUGCUGUGUCCUCACCCCAGAGCCAGUGCCACCCCCCCAGGGAGGGUCAGGACCAAUAGAUCUAAUACAAUAAACCGACUUUUUAAAGAAUGUUUCUACCCA
rnacentral:lncRNA from 1 species